AACUGAAUCUGAGUACUGUGAAGUUCGUCCGGUUUACCGCCGUACGAGACAAGCUACGAGCGCCGCCGUUCAAACAUAGUAGCGGAAAUCGUAUGGUCAAAGAACCCGGUUUACGACGUGGGAACGCCAAAGGACAGUCUUCUCAUGUGCAGCAACAAUUUUCGAUAACAGUCGUAGAAGAUGGCCGUAACGACUUGGUACCAGCCAAGAGAAACGGAUUUACUAAUAAACAAACCGCAAUGAUCCAACACUAAGGAAGAAAAAUUACAUAGCCCAAUCUCAAAC